GAACUGAGGGCUUUGUCCCACCAGGCCCAGAGCGGCGCCCUGAGAAGCAGCAGAUGUGACAGCAGGAAUGGGGGCUUCGGCGUUUCCGGAACAGGGCGCGCUGACCGCCAGGUGCGGGGCCUUGAGCAAAGGCAUUUACCACCGGAAGCAUAAGGAGUCAGGUGCGUAAGACAGAGACGGUAAGAGUGCACACUUGGGAAUUGCUGCGCCUCAAGUGGGUGGGGAGGGCGUCAUUGUGAUGUUGGCCCCAGUGACCUAGGGAGUCGCCCACAGUGACCCUUACCAACGCCUGUGCCCCAGGAGCAGCCUCGGCCUCAUUCGCAGGACAUGCAGGGUUUGCACAGGCCCCGCGAGACCCUCCGGCCGCCUCUCCGCGGGACGGCGGGCCUCCCUGGCCGCUCACCCUAACCCUACCCAAAACCUCCCUGGGGGCCGCUGGCUUGGGAACCCUUCUCCACCAUCUCCUCGUUUGCCACAAACACAAGUUCCCCUCGUGGGACCAACACAACCCGGUGCGGAUUCCGGCUCACACGGGGGGACGUUGGUUUGGUCGCUGUCCGGGCGCUGGUGCAGCUCCAGGCCCGCUCUCUGCCUCCCUGGGCGGCCCACCCACCUGCUGCUCCCUCGCUGCCCAAGCCCCAGGACACCCUGCGGCUCUCGCGUGAGGCCACCCCCCCCCCCCCUCCACCCCCUGCCGCCCAGCAGCCUGUUCUUGUCGUGCACCUGCUGCCGCCUGCGCUCCCAGAGCUGCUGAGGUUGCCAGGCCUGCACUUCUGCGUUCCCGUGCUGUCGCCUGUGCCUCGUACUCCAACAUCCAUGGGUCAGGGAGGAAACCCCCUCGAUUCCCUCUGCUCUGGCCUGAACAGUUGCUGCUGUCGGUGCAGGUCAUGGGCCAGCGUCAAGGCCCUGACACCCGUCCUUUCAGCCCCCCCCCCAAUGUUGGCAAUGCGGACUGCAUGCCCCGCGUCUCCUAGGACUGCCUAAAGCUGUCUCCUAAGGACUGCCCCCGCAGAAUCAGGCCGCCUACUCAGCGACAGCAGCUCCCCCAGGGGGCUCAGCCUUGCGGCCCUGGCUUCGUGCCUGUCCCUGGGAGCUCGGAUCCACCUCCGUGCACAUCACAAGACACUAAGGAAGUGCCUUCCCCGAGCCUGGCCACUGGCCUCUGGACGCAGGACCCACGGGAGGCCUUCGUGCUGGACGCUGCAGGGGCGGAUUUACUGGGCCGGUGACUUAGCAGGUGCUUCUCCCUCGGGGAGCGAGGGAGGGGGCACAAGGGGAGAGAAUCCCCAGCGGCUCCAGCUCGGUUCCAUCUCACCACCCUGUGAUCAUGACCCGGGGCGACCCCGAGAGUUGGAUGUCCCCCCUUCGGACACCCCCCCAUCCCGAUGCCCCAGGAAAGUCCUCCUUGCAGCACGAUGCUCCCUGGGGCGGCGGGUGCCCUGUCCCUGCAGGGCCCGACAGGACAGACCGAUAGGACGCAGGCUCCAACAUCGGUGCCAGCUGUCCGCUCCUGUGUGCCCUGGAGCUAAUCCCUCCCUGGCCGUGCCUGGCCCCCCGGAUCCCCACCUGGCGGUCCCAGGACAGCCCCCCUGUCCUUCCUUGGGGCUUGAGGGCCUUAGAAAGGCCAGCACACAGGGGGCCCAAGGACACUGUGGACUUCAGAACAACGGAUCGAGCUUGCUUCGUCGUCACGGUGAACGUACCUCGUGGUCACAAGACGUCGAGGUUGCAGGGGGCGCUGAAGGUCGUCGGGCCUUCCCCGCACCCCUAAAGCCACCCUAAGAAGUGCCAUCCGUUAGUCAGUUUUAAAAAAGGUCUUUAACAGAAACCAGC
ensembl:lncRNA